CCUACGGGGGGCAGCAGUGGGGAAUAUUGCACAAUGGGGGCAACCCUGAUGCAGCGACGCCGCGUGCGCGAUGAAGUAUUUCGGUAUGUAAAGCUCUAUCAGCAUGGAAGAAAAUGACGGUACCUGACUAAGAAGCCCCGGCUAACUACGUGCCAGCAGCCGCGUUAAUACGUAGGGGGCAAGCGUUAUCCGGAUUUACUGGGUGUAAAGGGCGCGUAGACGGCUUGUCAAGCCAGAUGUGAAAGGCUGGGGCUCAACCCCAGGACUGCAUUUGGAACUGGCAUGCUAGAGUUCCGGCAAGGCAGACGGAAUUCCUAGUGUAGCGGUGAAAUGCGUAGAUAUUAGGAGGAACACCAGUGGCGAAGGCGGCCUGCUGGACGAUGACUGACGUUGAGGCUCGAAAGCGUGGGGAGCAAACAGGAUUAGAUACCCCUGUAGUC
rnacentral:rRNA from 1 species